ensembl:misc_RNA Metazoa_SRP Metazoan signal recognition particle RNA
GCCGGGCGUGGUGGUGCAUGCCUGUAAUCCCAGCUACUCGGGAGGCUGAGGCACAAGAAUCGUUUGAACCCAGGAGGCAGAGGUUGCAGUGAGCCGAGAUUGUGCCACUGCACUCUAGCCUGGGUGACAAAGCGAGACUCUGUCUCAA